AACAAGGCGUACCUGCGGACCUGCGGAAGGAUCAUUACGAGAGUGUCACCACUCCCAACCCAUUGUUUACCUACCCGUCCACCGUGCUUCGGCAGGCAGCCCUGUGGGACAGAGCCUCGCCCCCUUUCGCGGGGGGUGCCUGCCGCUUGCCAACCAAAACUCUAGCUGUUUUAGUACCAUCUGAGUCUUCCACAAAUGAACAAAACUUUUAGCAACGGAUCUCAGAUCGGAAGAGCACAC
rnacentral:misc_RNA from 1 species